UACAGAGACUGCGAGCGUUAUUCGGAUUCACUGGGCGUAAAGGGUGCGCAGGCGGCCGUGUGUGUGAGGCGUGAAAGCCCGGGGCUUAACCCCGGAAUUGCACCUCAAACUACACGGCUAGAGCAUUGGAGAGGGUAGCAGAAUUCAUGGUGUAGCAGUGAAAUGCGUAGAUAUCUGCAGGAACACCCGUGGCGAAAGCGGCGCGCUGGACCACUACUGACGCUGAAGAACGAAAGCUAGGGGAGCAAACAGG
rnacentral:rRNA from 1 species